UACGAAGGGGGCGAGCGUUGUUCGGAGUUACUGGGCGUAAAGGGCGCGUAGGCGGCGAUCCAAGUUAGGCGUGAAAGCCCCGGGCUUAACCUGGGAAUUGCGCUUAAGACUGGAUUGCUUGAGUGCGGGAGAGGUGAGUGGAAUUCCCAGUGUAGAGGUGAAAUUCGUAGAUAUUCGCAAGAACACCAGUGGCGAAGGCGGCUCACUGGCCCGGUACUGACGCUGAGGUGCGAAAGCGUGGGGAGCAAACAGG
rnacentral:rRNA from 1 species